AUGGGGCUGGGCGUGAGGGCGGCGCCGUUCACGUACGUGGCGCACGCGCUGGCCGUGGUGGCCGCCGCCAUGGUGCUGUACUGGUGCAUCCACUUCCGCGGCGGCCUCGCCUUCGAAGCCGACAACAAGAACCUCAUCUUCAACGUUCAUCCUGUUCUUAUGUUGAUUGGCUUUAUUAUUCUUGGCAGUGAAGCUAUAAUGAUAUACAAGGUACUACCUACGGUGAACCAUGAUACAACUAAGUUGAUCCAUCUAGUGCUCCAUGCUAUUGCGCUUGUGCUCGGUGCGGUCGGGAUAUACUGUGCUUUUAAGAAUCACAAUGAAACUGGAAUUGCGAACCUUUACAGUCUGCAUUCUUGGCUUGGAAUAGGAACAAUUUCUCUAUAUGGUAUUCAGUGGAUAUUUGGAUUCUUGGCCUUCUUCUUCCCCAAGGCUGCGCCAAAUGUGAGGAAGGGUGCUCUUCCUUGGCACGUACUACUUGGGAUCUUCGUUUACAUUUUAGCCCUGGCAACGGCAGAACUUGGGUUUCUGGAGAAGCUCACCUUCCUCCAAAGCUCGGGCAUCGACAAAUAUGGACCAGAGUCAUUUCUGGUGAACUUCACGGCAUUGGUUGUUGUGCUAUUUGGUGCCUCAGUUGUUGUAGCUGCUGUUGCCCCAGCUCGCCUUGAAGAGCCACAGGAUUAUGCUCCAAUCCCAGAAAACUAG
rnacentral:rRNA from 1 species